rnacentral:rRNA from 1 species
AUUGAACGCUGGCGGCAUGCCUUACACAUGCAAGUCGAACGGUAACAGGUCUUCGGAUGCUGACGAGUGGCGAACGGGUGAGUAAUACAUCGGAACGUGCCCGAGAGUGGGGGAUAACGAGGCGAAAGCUUUGCUAAUACCGCAUACGAUCUCAGGAUGAAAGCAGGGGACCGCAAGGCCUUGCGCUCACGGAACGGCCGAUGGCAGAUUAGGUAGUUGGUGGGAUAAAAGCUUACCAAGCCGACGAUCUGUAGCUGGUCUGAGAGGACGACCAGCCACACUGGGACUGAGACACGGCCCAGACUCCUACGGGAGUCAGCAGUGGGGAAUUUUGGACAAUGGGCGCAAGCCUGAUCCAGCCAUGCCGCGUGCAGGAUGAAGGCCUUCGGGUUGUAAACUGCUUUUGUACGGAACGAAAAGACUCUGGUUAAUACCUGGGGUCCAUGACGGUACCGUAAGAAUAAGCACCGGCUAACUACGUGCCAGCAGCCGCGGUAACAC